UGCCGCGUGUGUGAAGAAGGCCUUUUGGUUGUAAAGCACUUUAAGCGAGGAGGAGGCUACCGAGACUAAUACUCUUGGAUAGUGGACGUUACUCGCAGAAUAAGCACCGGCUAACUCUGUGCCAGCAGCCGCGGUAAUACAGAGGGUGCGAGCGUUAAUCGGAUUUACUGGGCGUAAAGCGUGCGUAGGCGGCUUUUUAAGUCGGAUGUGAAAUCCCUGAGCUUAACUUAGGAAUUGCAUUCGAUACUGGGAAGCUAGAGUAUGGGAGAGGAUGGUAGAAUUCCAGGUGUAGCGGUGAAAUGCGUAGAGAUCUGGAGGAAUACCGAUGGCGAAGGCAGCCAUCUGGCCUAAUACUGACGCUGAGGUACGAAAGCAUGGGGAGCAAACAGGAUUAGAUACCCUGGUAGUCCAUGCCGUAAACGAUGUCUACUAGCCGUUGGGGCCUUUGAGGCUUUAGUGGCGCAGCUAACGCGAUAAGUAGACCGCCUGGGGAGUACGGUCGCAAGACUAAAACUCAAAUGAAUUGACGGGGGCCCGCACAAGCGGUGGAGCAUGUGGUUUAAUUCGAUGCAACGCGAAGAACCUUACCUGGUCUUGACAUAGUAAGAACUUCCAGAGA
rnacentral:rRNA from 1 species